UUUUUGCCCAUUGAUCCUUGUAUUGUUGUAACUCUUUUAGAUGAUGAUCUUUGCACUUGCGAGUUUUAUUGACCAUCUAGAUCGAUUCUCAACGGACGUCGUCCUGUGUUUAAUUUGCCCUCCUGUAGAUGAACUCCAUUCAAGGACAAACACCCACCUGUCUGAUGUUUGUGAAAAGUGAUAGAUGAAACAGUUAAAACUAACAGCAUACAUCCUUGCUUGCAUCCUCCGCCAUGGUUUUCUGACUGCCACUUCCCCAGGUGGAUCGUCCCCCUGCUAUAAACACUC
rnacentral:lncRNA from 1 species